rnacentral:tRNA from 3 species
CAUCCAUGGCUGAACGGUUAAAGCACCCAACUCAUAAUUGGCGAAUUCGUAGGUUCGAUUCCUACUGGAU